UUAUUUGAGAUUUUCUGCCCAAAUGUUCCGUUGAAAUUAUUUGAGAUUUUCUGCCCAAAUGUUCCGUUGAAAUUAUUUCUUCUUUUAAACCUUGAAUUUUGAAAGCCAUUUUGUGCCACUAUAGAUACUGAUAAUUCCUUGCAUACAAGAUAAAACUCGUUUUUAAUUGAGGUGUGGUUAUGUGUAUUAAUUAAUGGAAAACUUGCUUGCAAAUGUCAAGUUACCCCCACCCAAGAGAGGCAGAAUAGAACCUUCCCAUCACGCUUGAAUUUCGUCUUUGAUCAAGUUGUUUAAUAGGGAUAAA
rnacentral:misc_RNA from 1 species